AACCUCCCCUCGAAUCCACUUCUUAUGCGCUUGGAUUGGACCUGCUGGGAAAGAGAAACAAGGAUUGGAGUGGAUACCAGAGCUUGGAUCCACUUUAAAUCCACUUUAGUAAAGCCUAAUUGAAUUCAGAUUGCUUAAAAGUGGGCACCCGAGACGUUUAUCUUGAUGGGAUGACUGCUCUGAGCUCCAGCGAUCCUAUUAGCUGUAAGAAGAAUGAAAAUCCCAGGUUGUGUUGCUCCUUCCGUAACACCAGCCCCAGGCCCCACGUGAGGGGAUCCGGAGCUAUCCAUCACAGCAAGGAUCCCAAAGUGCAACUUAUAUCUAGUUGAAAGUGUGAGCCAAAUUCAGCUUAAGAAAUGUCAGAUUGAAACUGGACACUUUCUUGUCUCUGAGAAAAACAACAAUUGCCAACACAUUGAUGAUGAAACUUUUAACUAUGUCAUGGAGUGAUCUCAUAUGCAAACCAAAGGCGCCACUCUCAUGAAAUGUUGAAGGGCUGCUAGGAUUUCUAACUGUUCAGUUGACCAUAAAAGUUCUUCUUUCAAAGGAAUGUGACUCAAAGUGGUGGCCCAUGGAUUGAUCACUAGUUCACAUGGUUUUGGCUACCAGUCUGCAGCGAUUUCCCAAGAAAGAAACAGUUAUCAUCACUGGGCACAAAUAUGGUGCCAGUCCCUGGCACAUGUGCCUGAAAAGCCCUGCAUGUUUCCCACAUCAAAUAGCUUUAAAACAGUGGCCCUGCUUUUUGGAAUACAGUCCCCCACAGCCUAGUGCUAAUUUGGAGGUGCUAUGUUAAAAAGAAAUGUGUUACUUGUUUGUUGCUAAUUUUUACAAGGAACACAUUACUUAUAACAAGUAACAGAAACAUGAUUAAUGUGCUAGUGUUAACACAGUUUCAAGAGCUUUUUAAACAAAUGAAUUCAUUAAAAGAGGUGAAAAAAUCCCAGUCCUAAAGGUAGCAUUCCUGCAGCAUGAGGUUACUCGUUUUGAUGUUAAUGCUUACGCAAACACCAAAUGCAUGUUUCAUUUGUGUUCAGAUCUUUAAAAUUAAGGAAGGUAGCCUUCAUUACAAAGGAAUGAAGGAAGGAAAGACAGAUAGCCAAAAGGAAAGACAAUAUUAAUUUCAAAAUAUUAAUAUUAAUUUUAACACAGUAUUUCCUAGCUUUGAUCCUAGGCAGUGCAGCCAGUAGUGAGGGAUUAUGGGAGUUAGAGUCCAAAAAAUCUAGAGCGCCACACAUUGUGUAUUUUGACACAGCUAAAUACCUGAUCAUCAGUAGGUGAUAUUUUUCUUCUUGCUGUGAAGAGUUUUUGUGCAUCCAUUCCAUCUUGCUCCUUAAAAUGACAGACCAAAUGUACAUUGAGAGAUGAGAAGAAGUAAGGCAUGAAGGAAUAGUUUCUUCCUUCUUCUAGUGGCAUCUUUCAACAUGCUUUAAAAAAAAUACAAGUCAAUCAUUUGUGUUUCCAGCUUUAUCCAGUGAAACAAUUGGAAUUUCAUGGGAAAAUAUUGCUCAGUUUUGCCAUGAGGUGCAUGACAAAAUUUGUAAGGGAUUAGUUUGGAUUAGUUAAUAAUCAGAAACUUUUCCAAGUAUUUAGUAGAUUAGCAAAUCUUGUUUCUUUAAUAAAGUAAUUUCAGGGGUAAUUAUAACAAGAUGUUUCUUAUUAUAAGUCCAAUUGGCUAUGUACACAAGGAAAAACAACACAGGGAGAGUUGGAGUAAACUGCUUUUCAAAUGUAUUUCUAAAGUGUUUUAUACAUAGCCGUGAACUGAUUUUACAAUUACUGUUGCUGUUGUGUACCUUCAAGUCAUUUGACACUAUAAUGGGAUUUUCUGGAGUGGAGAGAGAGUGAUUUGCCCAGGGUCACCCAGUGGGUUUUCAUGGCCAAGUGGGUUUUGAACCUUUGUAUCCAGAGCCAUAUUCUAAUACUCAGAACACAAUGCCACUCUGUUGCUUGGAAUCACUUUGCUCUCUGCAAAAGGGAAGUAUUGAAAGAGAGUUUUGUUUGGACACAGAAUUCUAGGCUGAUGUUUAUGAGGUGUUAAGUAUUCACACGCCACCCUGCGUGGGAUACUUGUUUGUGUGUGCUUCUUAAAUUAUUGUGACUAUUUAGCUCUCUGCCUAGAAAUGUCAUAGCCCAGCCUCAAAAGCCCUUUAGUGGAUUUCCUUCUCCUGUGUCCGUGGCCUUAGUUUUAUCUUUGAAACUUUGUAUGAUGUCACUGCUCUGCUCCCAUGUCCCAACAUAUCCCCUGCCUUUGGUCACUGCUCACAUUUUAUCCCAAUGUGGGAAGAUGCAAUACAAGCCAAGACAUUUCCCUGAGGAAAUGGAGUGUAACUACUACACUUGAAGAGUUACAUGGCAGCUGUGAUUUGCAAUGGGCAGCUAAAUGUGUCGACACAUCCAAGUGCUAGGCACAAUGCAAAAUAACAUCACAUAUUCAAUCAACAUCUAAUGCUUGAACUGGAUGCAAAUGCUCUAUACUGGACAAAAUAAAGUGUCGCCACUUCUAUUGGGGAACUUAUGUCUUUGAAAACUAAGAAUAAAAUAACCUGCCUUA